rnacentral:lncRNA from 1 species
AAUAACAUUAACUUUUCAUUCAAAACACACAGGUCAUGUCCCCCAAAACCCAUUGUCGUCUUCACAAAACCCACAUAAACCCUAACUUCUAAGCACCAUAACUCAUUCAAUUCUUAACGAAAUCAAGCGAUUCUUGGGUCCAAAUUGUGUGUUUUUUCGAGACGAACAAGACUAACCGAACAGAAUUUCGAAAUUCUUCACGGGUUUUGAGAUUUUUGGACAUUUUUGGUCCGAAAUUUUGGGGGUUCUUGGUGGGUUUUUGCAAGCUUUCAUCCUUGGUGUUUAGUGCUUGUUUAAUCAUCACUCGAGGUAUGUUUUCACCCGAAUGGCACGUGUUCGAGAGAAUAAGAAAGGGAAGGCUCAAGAGGAACCUUCUAAAAGGGCUUCAAAAAAGGCAAAGAAACAACUUCUUGUUGUAGAGGAGUCGGAUGAUUCGGAUCCGGAAUAUGAUGUUUCGGAUGAGGAAGAAGAAGUAGAAGAAGAAGAUCAAAUCAUGACUAUGAGUGGCUAGAUUCUUUUGUGAUCACCUCCGGGUGGAUGGUUCAUGUAUGUGAAACUCAAACCUUGUUUAUUUAGUUUUUUGGGAUUGUUUUUCAUAACUUGAAGAAUACUUGUGGUUUAGUUUUGUUUAAAAGAAUUGUGAGUGUUGCAAUUAUUCAUCUUUUACCAUUCGCAUUCGGUUUUCUUGCAUCGUGAGUAGUUUGGUUAUUGGGUGGGUUCUUGGCACUUAUGAUUUGGUAAUUAGAUUGCAUAAGUUAUUAUUAAAAACUUGUCUUUGAUUAUCAAUCAAACUAAACCGUUAACAAGACCUUUUGGUAUCUAUCUAAUUAAACAGGUUUGGGUGAAUCAUUGAACCGGAAAUCUGGAGGGGGUUGCUUUUCUCUAAAAUUGAUAACCUUCUUAAUUCUUCUUGAUCAAAAAUCUCAAAACGCAAUCAAAGCAAUAGUUUUUCUUAGUUCUAGUUAAUCUAGGUUUCUACAAUCAACACUAACCACAUAUUCCCUGUGGAGACGACCCUACUUACCCUUGCUAGUAAAGGUACUUAGGACCGAUUUUUAAACUUGUUUUUGACCGACCUUUCGACAUCGAU